GCAGUCGACGGCAGCACAGGAGAGCUUGCUCUCUGGGUGGCGAGUGGCGGACGGGUGAGGAAUACAUCGGAAUCUACCUUUUCGUGGGGGAUAACGUAGGGAAACUUACGCUAAUACCGCAUACGACCUACGGGUGAAAGUGGGGGACCGCAAGGCCUCACGCGAUUAGAUGAGCCGAUGUCCGAUUAGCUAGUUGGCGGGGUAAUGGCCCACCAAGGCGACGAUCGGUAGCUGGUCUGAGAGGAUGAUCAGCCACACUGGAACUGAGACACGGUCCAGACUCCUACGGGAGGCAGCAGUGGGGAAUAUUGGACAAUGGGCGCAAGCCUGAUCCAGCCAUACCGCGUGGGUGAAGAAGGCCUUCGGGUUGUAAAGCCCUUUUGUUGGGAAAGAAAUCCUGUCGAUUAAUACUCGGUGGGGAUGACGGUACCCAAAGAAUAAGCACCGGCUAACUUCGUGCCAGCAGC
rnacentral:rRNA from 1 species